UACGUAGGGUGCAAGCGUUAAUCGGAAUACUGGGCGUAAAGCGUGCGCAGGCGGUUCUAUAAGACAGAUGUGAAAUCCCCGGGCUCAACCUGGGGAACUGCAUUUGUGACUGCAUGGCUAGAGUUUGGCAGAGGGGGGUAGAAUUCCACGUGUAGCAGUGAAAUGCGUAGAUAUAGGAAGGAACACCAGUGGCGGAAGCGACCACCUGGACUGAUACUGACACUGAGGUGCGAAAGCGUGGGGAGCAAACAGG
rnacentral:rRNA from 1 species